rnacentral:rRNA from 1 species
UCAGAUUGAACGCUGGCGGCAGGCCUAACACAUGCAAGUCGAGCGGUAACAUUUCUAAGCUUGCUUAGAAGAUGACGAGCGGCGGACGGGUGAGUAAUGCUUGGGGAUCUGCCUGAUGGCGGGGGACAACCACUGGAAACGGUGGCUAAUACCGCAUAAUACCUAUGGGUCAAAGUGUGGGACCUUCGGGCCACACGCCAUCAGAUGAACCCAAGUGAGAUUAGCUGGUUGGUAAGGUAACGGCUUACCAAGGCGACGAUCUCUAGCUGGUCUGAGAGGAUGAUCAGCCACACUGGGACUGAGACACGGCCCAGACUCCUACGGGAGGCAGCAGUGGGGAAUAUUGGACAAUGGGGGCAACCCUGAUCCAGCCAUGCCGCGUGUGUGAAGAAGGCCUUCGGGUUGUAAAGCACUUUCAGUGGUGAGGAAGGUGGUGUCGUUAAUAGCGGCAUCAAUUGACGUUAGCCACAGAAGAAGCACCGGCUAACUCCGUGCCAGCAGCCGCGGUAAUACGGAGGGUGCGAGCGUUAAUCGGAAUUACUGGGCGUAAAGCGCACGUAGGCGGUAUGUUAAGCAAGAUGUGAAAGCCCAGAGCUCAACUCUGGAAUAGCAUUUUGAACUGGCAUGCUAGAGCUUUGGAGAGGGUGGUAGAAUUU